CGUACGUCGCUGCUAAGCUCCGGAAUAUCUUCCGAAACCGGCGUAAGAAGUCGUCCAGCCCGUCGGUCGCUGCAAGGCGCCUGGAUCUGCAGGAGAAGAAGAAGGCAAAGCGCACCUUCAGGCUGUCGGGACUUCCUCAAUACUGCCCCGAGGUGGCGGGGAUCUCAGCCAUCGAGGCAGAGAUCAUCACCGUGCGGCUGAAGGCCGGCAAAGGCCUGCCUGGCGACAUGGCUGCGACGCUCGCGUCGCAGUCCGGCGUCAAGAUGUGGUGGUGCGCGGCAUGAGCAUUCGUCGGAUGAAGAAGGAGUAUCCGUACCUCUUCAGCGCAGAUGGGAUGUGGAAAGAAAUGACGCUAAUGACGGAGCGUCCGGAUCUGCGGGCGUCUUGUGAGGAGAAGAUGGAUAUCUGGAUGGACAAAAUUCACCAGAAGAUCGGUUGCAUCGGCGAUGAGGAGACCGCGCGCUGUCUCGCACGAAUCCUCCGAGCGAAGGGGCUGCUGCGCGAUGCGGAGGAAGGCAUCACCACGGCGCCGGCGAUUCUCGAGGGCGAAGAUGUGUACGCUGUUACCAUCGACGGUGUAACCGUAGUGACAGUGCGCAGCCUUCGCGAGGCCCUCGUUCAGUUUGCGCUGGCUCAAUAUGUACGGAACAUGAAGGUCCGCGCGGUGACAACAACCCUGAUGUGGUUUAUAAACCAUUAUAAUUUAUAAUUUUUAUU